CGGGACCCGCGAUAGUAAAUAAAAACCUGGACGAAAAAUUCAAAUGUGUUUACGUAUUAAGACAUAUUUACUCUGUGGCAGUCCUGCCAAGACAUUCCACGUCAGUCACUGUCACGGGAUGUGUACAUGUUUACGCGUGUACGCAAAUCAAUAAGCAGUCGUGACAGAUUUCUUCAUUUUUGCCGGUUCUCGACUACCCCUAAUGCUCCCGACUUUCGUCAGGAAUCGUU